GUAGAAUUACAAAAUUUUAUUUUAGAAAUGAAGAUUCUUUGUCAAAAUUGAAAACUAUGAUUUAUGUUUAUGUAUAUUGACGAUAUUUUGUGUGCAUUGUUUAUAUCUAUUUUGGUUGUUUUGGUUUCUUUCUCAAUUUUUUGGAGUUGGUGUGUGAUUGGGGUUAUUCGAUUUUGGUUCGGUGUUUUAGUUUGUCUCUUUGUUGGAGUUGUUUAUGUGUGUUAUGGUAGUUUUUCUUUGCCUUUGUUGGAGUUGUAAAUGUCAUUUGUGUGUUAUGGUUGUUUUUCUUUGUCGAAAAUUCUGGCCUUAUUUCUGAAUAGUUUGGGAAUUGAUGGUCGAUAAGACAGUUGAUUCUUUGCUGAUACAUUGUGAUCGAUUUGAAAAUUUUGGAUUUUGGAUUUUGUUAAACAUGUACAUGUACUAGUCGAAUUAUUAUUAUUCAUCAUUUCAAAUAGUUAUAUCAAUUUCAUUAGAAAUGGGAGACACAUUUAUAGUUAUAUUGAAUUUUUAGCUGUACAAUACCCAAUUCUGUAUAAUUAUAUUGAUGUUUAAUAGUAAUGUGAUAUUUUUGAUAAUUAUAUAAAUACAUAGGUGGAGAAUGCGACAAUAUAUUAAAGAUAACAUUGAUUCUUUUAGAUUUAGAACGUGACAUUUCUAAUAAUGAUAUUCGGGUGUUGAAUGCGACAUUUUUAACAAUUAUAUAUACUUAUUAUUUUAGAUGUAGAAUGCGACAUUUUAGACUAGUAUAAUAUUAUUGUUCUUUGGUUUUUCGUUUGUUUUCAGAUGACGUAAGAAAACAUCACUGGAUUACUUUUGAAAGACAAACUAGAUAAAAUUGUAUAUUUCUAAAUAUUACUACCAUAUAAUUCAUACUAUUGAAAAAAUGUUUAUUGAUCAUUUAGCAGACGUAAAGCAGGAAAUGGCGGGGGGAAGAAUCCUAGCAGACGACAGUUAUCGCGCAGAUGCAAUCAUGCACCAUAUCAGACUGCCCGAAAUUACAGGCUGGCCCAGCUCUAUACUGGACUCGCUUUCAGCAUGUUAGGGUUUGAAAAAGGAAAUCAUAACUUUGUAACGUAGUAGACGACAAUAAAUUUUAAAGUGGAAAUUUGCGACUUCCGGUGUGUCUGCUACUCGAUGUUGUGAUCUCAGUUACUUCCCCUGACGUUCAGUGUCGAGUUUCAGGAUUUGAAAUUAAGAAAGAACGAAAGAUAUGAGAUGAGCACCGGCAAACUGAUCUUGGCAUGUUACAUCCUUAUCACAGAACUGGAACCUACUGAUUAUGAUGAGGUAAAAGUAUAUUUUAUGAAUAUAUGUAUAGAUUUGUUUCUUAGCCUGCUGAAAGCGAAAGUCAUUAGUCUUUGCCUCCAGAAUAGAGCCCGGCCAGCCUGCACAUCUGUGCAGUUUGACCAGCCUCUUUACUGUUUGCUAACUUCCAAUUUUCAUUUUCAUGUGAUAAUUAGUUAUAAUAAUUUAUAAUGGACUGUUCCUUAAAAUAAAAUGUUGAAAAGUCCAUUUAAUAAUUUUCGCAGGUUAAAGCAGCAUGCCUCCAGAUUCAUGCCCAUUCUUCAUGUAAAUUUUGAAAAUGUAUCGAAAAAAGAAAAAUAUAGUGUAUUGA